GAGACUGCCGGUACAAACCGGAGGAAGGUGGGGAUGACGUCAGGUCCUCAUGGCCCUUAUGGGUAGGGCUACACACGUCAUACAAUGGCCGGUACAGAGGGCUGCCAACCCGCGAGGGGGAGCCAAUCCCAGAAAACCGGUCGUAGUCCGGAUCGUAGUCUGCAACUCGACUGCGUGAAGUCGGAAUCGACUAGUAAUCGCGGAUCAGCUUGCCGCGGUGAAUACGUUCCCGGGUCUUGUACACACCGCCCGUCACACCAUGGGAGUUGGAUUCACUCGAAGGCGUUGAGCUAACCCGCAAGGGAGGCAGGCGACCACAGUGGGUUUAGCGACUGGGGUGAAGUCGUAACAAGGUAACCAAUC
rnacentral:rRNA from 1 species